UCCGCAUACCACAUCAUGGCGUCACAGACGAAGUCACCGAUGGGGGCCUCGCCCAGGCGAACAGUGGCCUUGUCGGAAACCAGGGUGUGCGACAGAGUGCCCAGUGCGCAGGAGGCGGUGGAGGUGGGCGCCGCGGAGCAGAUGCCGCUGCUGCCGCCCAGGUCGCAGCGGUUGAUGCGGCCCUCGGCAGCAGCGUAGCCAGUGACCUGCAGGGACAGGAAGGAAGAGGCGUGAGGGCCAUCGGGCAUGAGGAAGACAUGUGUGAGAAGAGCUAAACAUUAGAGGGGAAGAAAAGAUGGGAGAAGGGAGGAACGUGUGCUACGAACGAAAGCAUGUGUGAUGGAGGUGGUCGGAGGCGGCUUAAGGAUAUGCCAGGAAUAGAGAUGAUAAUCGCGAGAUCAUACGAUCAAAUCUUGCUUGAAACAAGACAAAUCAGGGAUAUCAGCGUUAUAAUCCUAUGCGCUGUCCAGGGAUCAAGUAGUAUGAUCAGCCCGAGAUAAGUUCUCAAUGUUGCCUUCGACAUCUGUCUGCGGAUUGAAACGUUCUCCCUCCAAACACAAGCCAUUGAACCAUUUCAAGGUGGAUUACAUGGCGCCGGCGUGAACUUUGCUACGUUAUGCACCACCCUCGUAGUGCGUGAUCCCCAUCACCAGCAGGGGUGAAAUACAAAUGAGAUUAUUCAGUAGGAACAAUAAUGCAGUUGCACUGACCAAAGCUUGGCGUGGGUUAAGGCCGGGGCUCGGGAAUUGAGGGGUAUUUCUGCCCCUAUAUGCCCCUGGGCAACAUCCACUAGGAUAACGCACUUUAAACAAGCACACAAGCACACAUGCAUACACACUAACUUGCGAGCUGACCAGGAACUAAGUUGAGGCGCCGUUGAUCCGCUAGAUUUGGUUGGAUGCUGGUGGUGAGUUGGGAACCCAACGAAUACACUCUGAAUUUGGAUGGGGUGAAUGGAUUAGGGUGCCCCUCUCGCAGGGGAGAGCAGGGAACUGCCUCGGGAAAGGGGGCCGCUGGUGAAGCUUAACCACCCUGUAACAACAUACACAUCCUGCACGCCUCUUGUCCUUCUCCCUCCAUCCCCUACUCGGCCGCAUGCUCGGGUCACACUGAUUUACCAGGCUGGCGCAAAAUCAAUCAGCAAGUAAGGGUUGUAUUCAUAAUAAAAAAAACUCACGGGUGACGUGUACGACAGGAAUUCCUCCACAGCCUCCACAGCAAAAAGCCCCGUCUCCGCUACCGUCUGCGCCGCCCUGAUGGUUAGGUAGCCAUCGCCGCCUGACCAGAGGGAGUGGGGAGGGCCGGGGAAGGGCGGAGAGGGAUAGGAAAGGUAUGGAAUGUAAGGGUGUAUUGGUAGGCCAACAUCAACCCGCAUGGCAUUACAGACCCUAGCACAAGAUCGUGCUAUGCUAGCACAAGAUAGUGCUAUGCUAGCACAAGAUAGUGCUAUGCUAGCACAAGAUAGGGCUAUGCUAGCACAAGAUAGGGCUAUGCUAGCACACGAUACUGUGCUAGGGGGCUCAACAACUCGGCAUCAGGCCCCAAAGCAGCAGCAGUAGCUGCAGCAGCUGCGAAUCCAGUAUGACCCACAGCAGUUUGAAAGUCAGCGGAGGAGGUCAACAGAAGGACAACUUAGGCAGAUGGUGGUUUCUCGCUUUCAAAGAAAGGUCGUAGUGACAGCAGUGUAACAACCAACACGCUGGGCGACGCUGCCAUCACCUGUGUCAACGGGUAUCCUAAUAUUAGGGCAACCACCGCAUCUAGGCCGUACAGCUGUACGGAGCCCGUUGCAAAAGGCCGUGGGAUUCACAGUGUUACCCUAAUAUGUACGGCAGCUGAUGGGUAGCGACGCUACCAUGGUGUGUGUGUAUAUAACAUCACUAGCAGGCACGUGAUGUGUUCUUUUGUCGCCGUCAUACUGCUUGUGUGCCGCCGAUGAUGUUUAUGUGGCCCCCCAACCCCCAUGCUCUUUGUGCCGUUCAAGCCGUACACUUACCCGCCGCCAUAUAAUCGUUGGUCACCAAGGCAUACUUGGCGCAAGGAUCGAUGGGCGAGUACGAACCGUCCGCGUUCGCAACCUCGAUCGCCGACACGCGCUGGUUGCGCGGCUUGGUGGCGUCGUACGCAAAACGGAAGCCGCCCACCUGUCGAAUGAUGUGAAAGCAUGUAGUUACAUUAAAAAACACAGGAAGCUGAGGAAAGCCUUUGUGCACGACCCGGGUGUUUUUUGAGCCUGCUAUUAAGACUACUGCUACCAUCAGCCGUUUCAUUUAUCAAACAGUCGUGCACGCAUAAACGCCGGUACGGCAGACGGCGUCAGGGCAAGAGCUUUGCCCGAGCUUUUUGAGGGAGAACCCGUAGUCUCGUUGAGCUGAUAAUGUCUGUUCCGUCAUUUUCUUCUUAAACUGUAUUUAACUUAAGCAGUGCCGUACAUAUUUCACCACCGGUUUCUUCACGCGGCCCUAAGGUUGGGCACCGGUACCGAUCAGCGGCCCGCCUGGUGUCGCGGUCUUAAAGGAACACCCCAUCGCAGGACGGAUGCGGUUAAUAGUGCCAACUGCCUACUGCCAACUGCCAACUGCCAACUGCCAAAUCGCAGUACGGAAAUGUACAAGUACCAUAGCCUAGUGUCGCCGUCAUGUACCUCGUACACGGCCACCUCACCUGUGCAAACUGCCCGAGGGCCUCGCCCCCGGCAAUGUUGCCCUCAACGCUGUUCUCGAGAGCCGAUUUGAGGCCCGUGACGGAAAUGCUCUUGACCACAAGGGUAUUGCCGUACGGCAGGGCGGCAGCGAUUUGGCCUGCGGUUAGGUGUUUUUAUGUUAUUUUGCACAACACCGUUUUAUUUUAAGUAAUGCAACACUGACACUGUUUUCUGUGUGUGCUGCUAGUUCGGACCGUGUGUUGCAUGAACUGCAUGGGAAUUGUGUCUGUAUUGCGUGACCUUGUCUCCGAUAUGUAAGUGGAGACGGUGGGUGCAUGGUAGCUGCGAUGCAGUGUACAUAUUUAGAACAUGCCUACUGUGUACGACGUCGUACAUUCAGCAUACCUCCGGUCACCAGUCCAGCAGGGAUGUCCGCGCGAAUUGAACCAGAGUUCACCAUGCACAACUUCGGCCGCACGCCUGUAGUCAUCUGUUCAUAGACGCCACAGUUACAGGAAAAGGAGGGAACAGGGGGGCCAAGAGAUAUGCGGGUGGGUUUCCGUUGGCCAAAACACACACACACGAUCAUUUACGACAACUUACAUAUGUUCCCGUGAACAAAAUGCCGCACACUGUACAAAACUCGAUUGCAGAACCACAGACACACAUAGAGGAUAGCAUCAGCCGAGUUGGUCCUGCAGGCCGUCUGGAUGCCCGAUGCGGGUUUUAGAACAUGCGGAUUCGGAGCUGAUUUCACGUUUUUCACAGGGCCCCAGGGGUCCCGUCCUCCAUUACCACACGUGAACCUUCGCGCACCUCGGCAUACCACAUCAUGGCGUCACAGACGAAGUCACCGAUGGGGGCCUCGCCCAGGCGAACAGUGGCCUUGUCGGAAACCAGGGUGUGCGACAGAGUGCCCAGUGCGCAGGAGGCGGUGGAGGUGGGCGCCGCGGAGCAGAUGCCGCUGCUGCCGCCCAGGUCGCAGCGGUUGAUGCGGCCCUCGGCAGCAGCGUAGCCGGUGACCUGCAGGGACAGGAAGAGGGAGCCGUGAGGGCCAUCGGGCAUGAGAAAGACGCGUGUGUGUGCACUGCGGCUCCAACCGCCCCACAUACAACGUAAUCACUAGUCACGCCAUACGUGCUUUAGACGCUAUAAAUGUUUAGACGCUAUACCUAUCUACCAUACAGGAUAUGCUCGGUACGCGACUUAUCGUACACGCGGCAUAUGCUACAUAUCCUACAUAUGCUACAUAUGCUACACAAGGGUUAUAGCGUAUAAGCGACCUAUGAGACACCAGAGGCACACUCGGUAGCAACAGCGGUAAAAGUACACGUUCCAAAGCCUGGCGUGAAUGGGGGCGCGGGGACCUGCUGAGGGGCGAAUGGGUCCCCGCGUAUCCCUUGGUACCACCUACGGGGGAUUCAACGCGCACAUACACACACACAGACAGACACACAGACACACAGACACACACACACACAGCCACGCACACACACAGACACACACACACAGACACACAGACACACACACACAGCCACGCACACACACACACAGACAGACACACAGACACACACACACACAGACACACACACACAGACACACACAGACACACACACAGACACACACACAGACACACACACAGACACACACACACACACACACACACACACAGACACACACACAUAUAUGCGUCCGCAUCCCUUCUCACUGCUAGGUUACAUGUCAGGGUCGGGCUGCUUUAAAAGGCUGCACACAAAACCAGUCGGCAAGUAGUGGUGGUUACUGUGCGCAUGGAGUACUCACAGGUGAACUGUACGACAGGAACUCCUCCACAGCAUCCACAACAAAGAGCCCCGUCACCGCUGCCGUCUGCGCUGCCCUGAUGGUCAGGUAGCCAUCGCCGCCUGACCAGAGGGAGUGGGGAGGGCCGGGGAAGGGCGGAGAGGUAGGUUAAGGGUGGGAUGUAAGGGUGUAUUGGUAGGCCAACAUCACCCCCAUUUCAGGACAGACCCUAGCACAGGACAGUGCUACGUGUACUGUGCUAGGGGACUCAACAACUCGGUAUCCGGGCCCCAAAGCAGCAGCAGUAGCUGCAGCAGCUGCGAAUCCAGAUUGACCCACACCAAAAGUUUGGAAAACAGCAAAGGAGUUCAACAGGGGAAGAAGUAACGCAGAUGAUGGUUUUCCUCAAUGGCAAAGUAAGGUCGUUGAGGCAAAAGUGUAACGAACCAACACGCUGGGCGACGCUGCCAGCAUCCGUGUCAACGGGUACCCUAAUAUUAGGGCAACCACCGCAUCUAGGCCGUACAGCUGUACGGAGCCCGUUGCAAAAGGCUGUUGGAUUCACAGCGUUACCCUAAUAUGUACGGCACCUGAUGGGUAGCGACGCUACCAUGCUACAGUACUAUAUAUUACAGAAAGGUGUGUAUGUAUUUGUGUGUAUGUGUGUAUGUGUGUAAAACAUCACUAGCAGGCACGUGAUGGUGUUCCAUUGUCGCACUCACAUUGCUUGUGCGCCGCCGUUAAUGUUUGUGUGGGGGCCCCUACCCCCUAUGUUCUUUGUGCCGUUCUAGCGAUAUCCUCCGGACACCUGAGCAGCACAGCCCCCCAUCCGUCAAGUCACACACUUACCCGCCGCCAUAUAAUCGUUGGUCACCAAUGCGUACUGGGCGCAAGGAUCGACGGGCGAGUACGAACCGUCCCCGUUCGCAACCUCAAUGGCCGACACGCGCUGGUUGACCGGCUUGGUGGCGUCGUACGCAAAACGGAAGCCGCCCACCUGUCGAAUAAAGUGAAAGGAUGCAGUUACAUUAACAAACACAGCAAGCUGAAGGAAGCCAUUGUGGACGAGCCUCCGUACUUGUUUCCGUACGCCAUGUCAAGAGCUAGGGUGUUUGGACCUGCUAUUAAGACUUCUACCGUCGGCCCGUUCACACAUCAAGCAGUCGUACACGCAUUAACGCCGGUACGGCAGAUGGCCCUCGGGCCUUAACCCUUGCCGAGCCCUGUGGAAUAAAAUCCGUAGUCUCGUUCAGCUGAUCUUGUCUGUUCCCACCGUUUUCCUUCCUAAAGUGCAUAUCAUCUUACACAGUGCCGUACAUAUUUCCCCUCCGGUUUCUUCACUCAGCCUCUAAGCUGCCGUAAGGCUGGACACCGGUACCGAUCAGCGGCCCGGAUGGUGUUGCGGUCUUGAAGGAACACCCCAUCGCAGGACGGAUGCGGUUAAUAGUGCCAACUGCCUACUGCCAACUGCCAACCGCCAACUGCCAAAUUGCAGUACGGAAAUGUAUUUGCAUGGCCUAUUGUCACCAUCAUGUACCCCGUACACGGUAUCACCUCACCUGUGCAAACUGCCCGAUCGCCUCGCCCCCGGCAAUGUUGCCCUCAACGCUGUUCUCGAGAGCCGAUUUGAGGCCCCUGACGGAAAUGCUCUUGAUCACCAGGGUGUUGCCGUACGGCAGGGCGGCCGCGAUUUGGCCUGCGGUGUUGGUGUUCCCAUGUGUCAUUUUUUGUUCAACACCGUUUAUUAAAAACUUAUUAAACUAAGUAAUCAAUUAUUGACACUGUUUUCUGUGUGAGCUGCUAGUUCGGACCGUAUGUUGCAUGAACUGCAUUGGAAUCGUUGUUGAUGGGGUUGUGUUACACUGUGGGCGGCUCGUCCCGAUAAAGGACGAGCACGGGGGGCCUGACCGGGGACCGAAACACAGUGCAGGGUUGUAGGCUGUUACAGAGUGGGAGGCUUCUGAGCCACUUGAACACAAAGGAAUUGUGCCUGCAUUGCGUGACCCUGUCUACGAUAUGUAUGUACCGUCUCCGCAUACACAUCGGAAACGGUAAGUGCCCGGGUAGUUGCGAUGCAGCGGACACAUACAUUGAACAUGCCUACUGUGUACGACGCCGUACAUUCAGCAUACCUCCGGUCACCAGUCCAGCAGGGAUGUCUGCGCGAAUCGAACCAGAGUUCACCAUGCACAAAUCCGGCCUCACGCCUGUCGUCAUCUGUUCAUAUACGCCACCAUUUUAAGAAAAAGGAGGGAAGAGGGGUGCAAGGAGUAUAAGGGUGGGAGUCCCUUUGGGACAAGGCUUGGGAACAAUGGACGGCACGCAGCAGGACGGCACUGGCCCCAGCAUGGCGUAUUAUUCGCAUGCAGGUACGGCAGCACAGAUCCAUUUUCUGCGAUUUACAGAUGAUGCAUGCGUUUGUUUAUACAGAGCGUGUACGCCAUCCAAGAACCGCUUGCAGAUAGCAUCAGUCGAGUUGGUCAAAUAAGCUGGUCUUGCAGACACGCGUCUAGAUGCCCCGUGUCAGCGUGGGUGGGUUUUAGAACAUGCGGAUUUGGAGCUGAUUUCACGUUUGUUACAGGGCCCCGGGGGUCCCGUCCCCCACUACUACAUGUGAACCUUCGCGCACCUCGGCAUACCACAUCAUGGCGUCACAGACGAAGUCACCGAUGGGGGCCUCGCCCAGGCGAACAGUGGCCUUGUCGGAAACCAGGGUGUGCGACAGAGUGCCCAGUGCGCAGGAGGCGGUGGAGACGGGCUCCGCGGAGCAGAUGCCGCUGCUGCCGCCCAGGUCGCAGCGGUUGAUGCGGCCCUCGGCAGCAGCGUAGCCGGUGACCUGCAGGGACAGGAAGAGAGAGCCGUGAGGACCAUCGGGCAUGAGAAAGACGCGUGUGUGUGCACUGCGGCUCCAACCGCCCCACAUACAACGUAAUCACUAGUCACGCCAUACGUGCUUUAGACACUAUAAAUGUUUAGACGCUAUAUCUAUCUACCAUACAGGAUAUGCUCGGUACGCAACUUAUCGUACACGCGGCAUAUGCUACAUAUGCUACACAAGGGUUAGCGUAUAAACGACCUAUGAGACACCAGAGCCACACUCGGUAGCAACAACGGUAAAAGUACACGUUCCAAAGCCUGGCAUGAAUGGGGGCGCGGGGACCUGCUGAGGGGCGAAUGGGUCCCUGCGUAUCCCUUGGUACCACCUGCGGGGGAUUCAACGCGCACAUACACACACACACACACACACACACAGACACACGCACACACAGACACGCACACACACAGACACACACACACAGACACACAGACACACACACACAGCCACGCACACACACACACAGACAGACACACAGACACACACACACACAGACACACACACACAGACACACACAGACACACACACAGACACACACACAGACACACACACAGACACACACACACACACACACACACACACAGACACACACACAUAUAUGCGUCCGCAUCCCUUCUCACUGCUAGGUUACAUGUCAGGGUCGGGCUGCUUUAAAAGGCUGCACACAAAACCAGUCGGCAAGUAGUGGUGGUUACUGUGCGCAUGGAGUACUCACAGGUGAACUGUACGACAGGAACUCCUCCACAGCAUCCACAACAAAGAGCCCCGUCACCGCUGCCGUCUGCGCUGCCCUGAUGGUCAGGUAGCCAUCGCCGCCUGACCAGAGGGAGUGGGGAGGGCCGGGGAAGGGCGGAGAGGUAGGUUAAGGGUGGGAUGUAAGGGUGUAUUGGUAGGCCAACAUCACCCCCAUUUCAGGACAGACCCUAGCACAGGACAGUGCUACGUGUACUGUGCUAGGGGACUCAACAACUCGGUAUCCGGGCCCCAAAGCAGCAGCAGUAGCUGCAGCAGCUGCGAAUCCAGAUUGACCCACACCAAAAGUUUGGAAAACAGCAAAGGAGUUCAACAGGGGAAGAAGUAACGCAGAUGAUGGUUUUCCUCAAUGGCAAAGUAAGGUCGUUGAGGCAAAAGUGUAACGAACCAACACGCUGGGCGACGCUGCCAGCAUCCGUGUCAACGGGUACCCUAAUAUUAGGGCAACCACCGCAUCUAGGCCGUACAGCUGUACGGAGCCCGUUGCAAAAGGCUGUUGGAUUCACAGCGUUACCCUAAUAUGUACGGCACCUGAUGGGUAGCGACGCUACCAUGCUACAGUACUAUAUAUUACAGAAAGGUGUGUAUGUAUUUGUGUGUAUGUGUGUAUGUGUGUAAAACAUCACUAGCAGGCACGUGAUGGUGUUCCAUUGUCGCACUCACAUUGCUUGUGCGCCGCCGUUAAUGUUUGUGUGGGGGCCCCUACCCCCUAUGUUCUUUGUGCCGUUCUAGCGAUAUCCUCCGGACACCAGAGCAGCACAGCCCCCCAUCCGUCAAGUCACACACUUACCCGCCGCCAUAUAAUCGUUGGUCACCAAUGCGUACUGGGCGCAAGGAUCGACGGGCGAGUACGAACCGUCCCCGUUCGCAACCUCAAUGGCCGACACGCGCUGGUUGACCGGCUUGGUGGCGUCGUACGCAAAACGGAAGCCGCCCACCUGUCGAAUAACGUGAAAGCAUGCAGUUUCAUCAACAAACACAGCAAGUUGAAGGAAGCCUUUGUGGACGAGCCUCCUUACUUGUUUCCGUACGCCAUGUCAAAAGCUAGGGUGUUUGGACCUGCUAUUAAAACUUCUACCGUCGGCCCGUUCACACAUCAAGCAGUAGUACACGCAUUAACGCCGGUACGGCAGAUGGCCCUCGGGCCUUAACCCUUGCCGAGCCCUGUGGAAUAAAAUCCGCAGUCUCGUUCAGCUGAUCUUGUCUGUUCCCACCGUUUUCCUUCCUAAAGUGCAUAUCAUCUUAAACAGUGCCGUACAUAUUUCGCCUCCGGUUUCUUCACUCAGCCUCUAAGCUGCCGUAAGGCUGGACACCGGUAGCGAUCAGCGGCCCGACUGGUGUUGCGGUCUUGAGGGAACACCCCAUCGCAGGACGGAUGCGGUUAAUAUGCCAACUGCCAACUGUCAACUGCCAGCUGCCAACUGCCAAAUUGCCAAUGGUUCACAACUUGGAUCCCGUUGCAGUUCGGCGGUGCAGAAGUAGCUACUAGGCACCAUAAGUAACACAUGCACACAUGCAUCCUGUGGGGAUCAGCUGCACCGUCAUGUACACGGCCACGGUAUCACCUCACCUGUGCAAACUGCCCGAUCGCCUCGCCCCCGGCAAUGUUGCCCUCAACGCUGUUCUCGAGAGCCGAUUUGAGGCCCGUAACGGAAAUGAACUUGAGCACCAGGGUAUUGCCGUACGGCAGGGCGGCCGCGAUUUGACCUACGGUGUUGGUUUUGUUCGUUGGAAAUAGAUUGAUUAAAUUCAAGGCCUGGUUAAACUUCACUGCGACAUGGACAGGUUGUAGCGCCAUGAUCACCAACAUCGUGUACACUGUUCCACGCCAUGCAUGGCCGUGUGCAACCGUGUACAGCCAUGUGCAGCCAUGUACGACAACCUACGUAUUUAUAUAAAUAAUGUUAGUCCGAAUAAUGGUUAGAUGUCAUUGCAGUAGCAAUCCAGCUCCUGGACAUACGGCCAUGGGCGUUAUGCAUGGUUUCCUUCAUCCCUUAGUUUCUGACCGCAUCAGUAUUUUACCAGCAGCCAGGUAUCCUGUGCUGCAAUAAUUAGCAUUAACAAUACCCUUUGCAAGUCUGUCUACAAUGAUAAUCCUACCUAUCAGCACUCAUGGCCGUACAUGCAAUGCCGUACACUGAAUGCGUACCUGAGGUCACAGGUCCCGCAGGAAGAUUCGCGCGGAUCGAACCGGAGUUCACCAUGCAGAAAUCCGGCGUUGUUUGGAAAUAGCGCUGUCGAUAACGACAGGAACAAGCACGGAUAAUGGGUUGUUGGGGAAUCGUAAUUGAUGGGUAUUAUAAUCAAGGAACUGCUAAGGUCCGUCCCGACAAGGUCGGACAGGGCGGCAAACGCACGCGCCGGCACCGAACAAAGAGGUGUUUGGUACACGCGAGCACCGCAACAACGUACGGCAAAACAAGGCAUCCAUUACUUAAACGCGCAUGUUCUGAAUCUGAACCUUGCUAUUAGGCGCAGCCCACCAGACCGUCUUCAUACUUCAGGAUGGAUGGCAGUAGCGCAAUGGACGUCGGUGUGAUCAUAUUAGCGCGUACGAUGGGGAGAGUACGUGAAGGGAUGUUGGUUCCGUUCGUAUCCCCCAGCUCCCCGUCCUCACCCUGCGGGCCCCUCCCUCCCUCCCAACGCACCUCUGCAUACCACAUCAUGGCGUCACAGACGAAGUCACCGAUGGGGGCCUGGCCCAGGCGAACAGUGGCCUUGUCGGAAACCAGGGUGUGCGACAGAGUGCCCAGUGCGCAGGAGGCGGUGGAGACGGGCUCCGCGGAGCAGAUGUCGCUGCUGCCGCCCAGGUCGCAGCGGUUGAUGCGGCCCUCGGCAGCAGCGUAGCCGGUGACCUGCAGGGACAGGAAGGAAGAGCCGUGAGGGCCAUCGGGCAUGAGGAAGGCACGUGAACGAGGGAAAUCAAUGUGGACGAAGUAACGGAGCUUUUGAGAAACGCUUCUUUGACGGCGCGCAUGUGCCGCCCUGUCCGACCUUGUCCGUCAAUUUCAAAUUAUGACGGAGUUAUGGUGACUGAUGAUGAGCAGCGGUCGGUGUUUGCUAUAGCGCUGCAUUGCCAAAGCUACGAACAGGCCUAGGCCAAGGCCCCAGUCGUUGUAA
rnacentral:lncRNA from 1 species